rnacentral:rRNA from 1 species
GACGAACGCUGGCGGCGUGCUUAACACAUGCAAGUCGAACGGAAAGGCCCUGCUGUUUGGGGGUUCUCGAGUGGCGAACGGGUGAGUAACACGUGAGUAACCUGCCCUUGACUUUGGGAUAACUUCAGGAAACUGGGGCUAAUACCGGAUAGUAGCUCCUGCUGCAUGGUGGGGGUUGGAUAGUUUCGGCGGUUGGGGAUGGACUCGCGGCUUAUCAGCUUGUUGGUGGGGUAGUGGCUUACCAAGGCUUUGACGGGUAGCCGGCCUGAGAGGGUGACCGGCCACAUUGGGCCUGAGAUACGGACCAGACUCCAACGGGAGGCAGCAGUGGGGAAUCUUGCACAGUGGGCGGAAGCCUGAUGCAGCAACGCCGCGUGCGGGAUGACGGCCUUCGGGUUGUAAACCGCUUUCGCCUGUGACGAAGCGUGAGUGACGGUAAUGGGUAAAGAAGCACCGGCUAACUACGUG